CAGAAAAUAGUUUAAUGUAAAAUUCUGGCUUUGGGAGCCAGUGGUGAGAGUUAAAAUCUCUCUUUCUGG
rnacentral:tRNA from 1 species